rnacentral:tRNA from 1 species
GAGCAUAGAGCUCAGUGGUAGAGUGCGUGCUUAGCAUGCACGAGGCUCUGGGUUCAGUCCCUGGUACCUCCA